CCUGAUAUAGGGUGUUGAUGUCAUUAGACCACACCCUUUCUCAUUACAGAGAUGCACAUCACCUAAUAUGCUUAAUUGGUAGUAGGCUUUCGAGCCUGUACAGCUUGGAGUAAGACAACAUGCAUAAAGAGGAUGAUGUGGUCAAAAUACUCAUUUGCCUAAUAAUUCUGCACUCCCUGUAAUGUAUGUUUAUAUGACAUGCC